AUUGAACGCUGGCGGCAUGCCUUACACAUGCAAGUCGAACGGUAACGGGCCUUCGGGUGCCGACGAGUGGCGAACGGGUGAGUAAUACAUCGGAACGUGCCCGAUCGUGGGGGAUAACGCGGCGAAAGCUUUGCUCAUACCGCAUACGAUCUACGGAUGAAAGCAGGGGACCGCAAGGCCCUGCGCGGACCGACCGGCCGAUGGCAGCUUAGGUAGUUGGUGGGAUAAAAGCUUACCAAGCCGACGAUCUGUAGCUGGUCUGAGAGGAUGACCAGCCACACUGGGACUGAGACACGGGCCAGACUCCUGAGGGAGGCAGCAGUGGGGAAUUUUGGACAACGGGCGCGAGCCUGAUCCAGCCAUGCAGCGUGCAGGAUGCAGGCCUUCGGGUUGUAAACUGCUUUUGUACGGAACGAAAAGCCUUCUUUUAAUACAGGAGGGUCAUGACGGUACCGUAAGAAUAAGCACCGGCUAACUACGUG
rnacentral:rRNA from 1 species